GAGAGAGAAAAAUAAAAAGUAUUUUGUUCUUCUUCUUCCACACUAUCUCCUUCUUGAAAAGCUCUUUUUUCUAAUCUAGAGGUAUCCAUUUGAUCUGAAGAAAGGAGUCUCCAUCAGCCAUCCAGAUCCUUUAUCGCAAGCUAGCACUCUCGGGAAGGAUGAUCUAUUUGGAGCUUCGAGUGGAUCACCUAUAGAGGUCGGACACGCUGUGCAGUUGCUCGACAUCAAGAAGGACCUCCUACCAUAUCCAUUAGCAGUAGUGAUUAUCUAUCCA
rnacentral:lncRNA from 1 species